UUCUUUGGUCAUUUAGAGGAAGUAAAAGUCGUAACAAGGUUUCCGUAGGUGAACCUGCGGAAGGAUCAUUACCUAGAGUUGUAGGCUUUGCCUGCUAUCUCUUACCCAUGUCUUUUGAGUACCUUACGUUUCCUCGGUGGGUUCGCCCACCGAUUGGACAAACUUAAACCCUUUGCAGUUGAAAUCAGCGUCUGAAAAAACUUAAUAGUUACAACUUUCAACAACGGAUCUCUUGGUUCUGGCAUCGAUGAAGAACGCAGCGAAAUGCGAUAAGUAGUGUGAAUUGCAGAAUUCAGUGAAUCAUCGAAUCUUUGAACGCACAUUGCGCCCCUUGGUAUUCCAUGGGGCAUGCCUGUUCGAGCGUCAUUUGUACCUUCAAGCUCUGCUUGGUGUUGGGUGUUUGUCUCCUGUAGACUCGCCUUAAAACAAUUGGCAGCCGGCGUAUUGAUUUCGGAGCGCAGUACAUCUCGCGCUUUGCACUCAUAACGACGACAUCCAAAAGUACAUUUUUACACUCUUGACCUCGGAUCAGGUAGGGAUACCCGCUGAACUUAAGCAUAUCAAUAAGCGG
rnacentral:rRNA from 1 species